CAGCAGGGAGCAGCGAGCAGGUGGAGGAGCAGGGUGAGUGCUUGCUAAUAUUGUUUCAAAGUGUUUUUUUGUGUAGGGAUCUUGUAGAGGGAGGGGAGGGGAUGGGUACAGGGGGUCUUGUAGAUGGGGGUGUGUAUUCACAUAUACACACAACACAAACCCUACUGUGGCACAAUGACUUAUAGGGUUGGCAUACAUAUUUCAUAAAUAUAUAUUUAUGAAUUAGAAUUAGUCAAUCUGGAAUAUUUAACACUAUCACUAAAAUAUAUAUAAAUAUAUAUACUUUUAUUAUUGGUAUGUUCUUUUUUUAAUUAUAAAUAUUAGUCCUUUCAUGGUAAAAACUUAAUAAUAAUACAGUAAGCAUACUCAUACGCAGGCACAGACAAUCUCAUUGACACAAGCACACAAGUUCACAGACAGGCAAUCUCAGACAUGCUCACUGACACACACAUACAUGUUUACUACAGACAUGCUCACUGACACAUAUAUACAUGCCUAUUACAGACAUGCUCACUGACACACACAUGCUUACCACAGACAUGCUCACUGAAACACACAUACAUGCUUACUACAGACAUGCUCACUGACACACACACAUGCAUGCUUAUUACAGAUAUGCUCACUGACAAACACAUACAUACUUACCACAGACAUGCUCACUUACACACAUAUACAUGCUUACUACAGACAUGCUCACUGACACACACAUACCUGCAUAAUGCAGGUAUACUCACUGACACACACAUACAUGCUUAAUGCAGAAAUGCUCACCGACACACACAUACAUGCUUACUACAGACAUGCUCACUGACACACAUAUACAUGCUCACUACAGACAUGCUCACUGACACACACACAUGCUCACAACAGCAGGCAGACACACCCACACACAAGAUCACUCUCACUCACUAGCUGCAGUGCAUUUGAAGUCUACCUGGCAUUGCAGGCUGCUGCUGUGGAAGCCCGGGGAGUUGAGAACUUAAUUUCCUGCACUCUUUCUGCCCUGAAGUCAGCAGCUUGAGAUCGGGGGUGGAGCUUGAGAUCGGGGGCGGAGCUUGAGAUCGGGGCAGAGCUUGGGUUCCAGAAAGCUCCCUCCCUGUAGUGCUCCUUCCGGCUGCCGCAUUCUCAAUGCGGGCGCACCGGCCCCAAGCCCCACCCUCCAUAAUAAGGUAUUAGGGCACUCUCCACCGGCCCCAAGUGCUGCAGCCCACCGGAAAAUUUCCCGGUAUCCCGGUGGGCCAGUCUGGCCCUGGAGGAGGGCAGGGUUUUUUGUGAAUGGAGAAUGCAGGGGGAUUGUAGGUGGGCAGGGGAUUUUUAGGGGGGUGCAGGGGAUUUGUAAAAGGAGGACAGGGCAGGGGUUUUUGUAGAAGGGGGUUGUAGGAGGGGGACUCGACAGGGGUUUUUGUAGAUGAGAGGGUGCAAAGUUUUUGUAGAGGGGGCAGGGGUUUGUAGAAAGGGGAUUUUGUAAAAGAAGGACUGGGCAGGGGUUUUGUAGAGGGGAGCAGGGAAUUUUUAAAAGGGAGACUGGGCAGGGGCUUUGUAGAAGGGGAGUCUUGACGGGGGCUGGGCAGGGGAUUUGUAGAGGGGGUACAGUUUUUUUUGUAGAGGAAUAGGUGCAGGUUUUUUUUAUAGGGGAGUAGGGGAUUUUUAAAAGGGAGACUGGGCAAAGGCUUUGUAGAUGGGGUGUCUAGAAGGGGGACUGAGCAUGGGAUUUGUAGAGGGGGUGCAGGUUUUUUGUAGAGGAGGGAGUGCAGGGUUUUUGUGGAGGAGGCAAGAGUUUUGUAGAAAGGGGGGGCUUGUAGAAGUGAGACUGGGCAGGUUUUUUGUAGAGGGGGUGCAGGGUUGUUGUAGAGGGUGAUGCAGGGUUUUUGUAGAAGGUGGACUGGGCAGGUGUUUUGUAGAAGACAAUAAAUAAAAAAAAACAUUAGAAAUAAUUUUUUUAAAACAUUUUUUAUGAGGGGGAGGGAUGGGGGCAAACACAGGAUCCACCAUGAGUGCCAAAUGCUGUAGGUAAGCUCCCUAAUGUAUAUACUGAAAAGGAAUACAAUGUCAAUAUUAUGCAAUUUGAUAUAACAUUUGAAAAGUAGUAUUGAUGUACGAUGCUAUGUAUAACCAAAUUUCAUGUCAAUGCGUGAAUAAAUGCAUGUUGCAAGAUGGUAUUGAAACCUCCCCCUAAAAUCCCCCAAUAUUAAAUUACCUUUAUGUAUAAAGUCAAAUAUACAAGCGGAAAGAUAGAAUAGUCUACCGUUUAGUUUGCAACAGCAUCUUUAUUUCUUCAUCCGUAGCUUUAUAUUCAUUAUUUCGAUGCACAUCCAUAGAACAGGGCUAAUGAUGUAAUCAACAACAUCCUGUUCUGCAUAAAUUAAUUAGACAGGUGCUGAUACUUCAAACAUCUAAUUGUAUAAAACAUUACAAUUAUAUGCUAUUACUUUGUCAUUUUUUUUAAAGUACGUUUUUAAUAUGUAACAUACACAUAAGUGAUGCGGAUUUAGCUAAUUAUUUAUAAUUAAUGGACUGUUCAUUUAUUUUUGUUUUUACACAAAGUGAAAUGAUUUUUAUUUGCUAACAGCUUGGCUACUGUAUGAAGCUCUGAUGUUGUACAUGUUGAUGCUUCUAUGGAGCUGGAGAUAUACAGAACAUUUAAAGCUAUAGAGACUAGACUGAAGAACAAGUGAUUGAGCCCUCUGUCCCAAAGUCCAUUGCACAUUGUGACAAUUAUCCCUUGAACACCCUACUAAAAAAAUAACAGUUGUAAUAGUGUUUAUAUAAGAAGAUAAUAUGUUGUAAAAUAUUUCCAGAACAUUCUGUUUUGUAAUUACGUUUAAUGCCACAGACUAAGGCCUUGAUUUAAU